AGUGAACGCUGGCGGUAGGCCUAACACAUGCGAGUCGAACGGCAGCACAGUAAGAGCUUGCUCUUACGGGUGGCGAGUGGCGGACGGGUGAGGAAUACAUCGGAAUCUACUUUUUCGUGGGGGAUAACGUAGGGAAACUUACGCUAAUACCGCAUACGACCUACGGGUGAAAGCAGGGGAUCUUCGGACCUUGCGCGAUUGAAUGAGCCGAUGUCGGAUUAGCUAGUUGGCGGGGUAACGGCACACCAAGGCGACGAUCCGUAGCUGGUCUGAGAGGAUGAUCAGCCACACUGGAACUGGGACACGGUCCAGACUCCUACGGGAGGCAGCAGUGGGGAAUAUUGGACAAUGGGCGCAAGCCUGAUCCAGCCAUACCGCGUGGGUGAAGAAGGCCUUCGGGUUGUAAAGCCCUUUUGUUGGGAAAGAAAAGCAGCAGGUUAAUACCCCGCUGUUCUGACGGUACCCAAAGAAUAAGCACCGGCUAACUUCGUG
rnacentral:rRNA from 1 species